GGGGUCGUUAUGGAUUCGACGGGUAUAGGUUGAGCCUGGAUUGCGUUUCGUGCUGCGUCACGUAAAAACGUCCAGUUUAUUAUAACUGCAAAAAAUAAUAACAAUUCUUACGCUUUAGCUGCCUAAUAAGCGC
rnacentral:tmRNA from 1 species